rnacentral:rRNA from 1 species
GACGAACGCUGGCGGCGUGCUUAACACAUGCAAGUCGAACGAUGAAGCCGGAGCUUGCUCCGGUGGAUUAGUGGCGAACGGGUGAGUAACACGUGAGCAAUCUGCCCUUGACUCUGGGAUAACUGCGGGAAACUGUAGCUAAUACCGGAUACGACACCUUGGGGGAUCCCAGGGCGUGGAAAGAAUUUCGGUCAAGGAUGAGCUCGCGGCCUAUCAGCUAGUUGGUGAGGUAAUGGCUCACCAAGGCGACGACGGGUAGCCGGCCUGAGAGGGUGGCCGGCCACACUGGAACUGAGACACGGUCCAGACUCCUACGGGAGGCAGCAGUGGGGAAUAUUGCACAAUGGGCGAAAGCCUGAUGCAGCAACGCCGCGUGAGGGAUGAAGGCCUUCGGGUUGUAAACCUCUUUUAGCAGGGAAGAAGCGAAAGUGACGGUACCUGCGGAAAAAGCACCGGCUAACUACGUGCCAGCCGCCGCGGUAA